UUAUCAGCCUAGCGUGGAAAGCUCUACGGGCACGACGCCUGGCGGGGGUACAAGAACCACACCUGGAGAGGAAUCAGAAAGCACGCCUGUGACACCCGGAAUCUCUACCUCAGAGGGCCCAACGCCAGGCCCGUCUGAACCAGGAAGCAGCGUGACCUCAACCCUUAGC
rnacentral:lncRNA from 1 species